UACAGAGGUCCCAAGCGUUGUUCGGAUUCACUGGGCGUAAAGGGUGCGUAGGUGGCGAGGUAAGUCGGAUGUGAAAGCUCGGAGCUCAACUCCGAAAUGGCAUUGGAAACUACCUUGCUCGAGGGUUGGAGGGGGGACUGGAAUUCUCGGUGUAGCAGUGAAAUGCGUAGAUAUCGAGAGGAACACCAGUGGCGAAGGCGAGUCCCUGGACAACUCCUGACACUGAGGCACGAAAGCCAGGGGAGCAAACGGG
rnacentral:rRNA from 1 species